AAUAGCUUUUCUUGUGGGUCAUCUCUGCAUGCUCUUGACCAUCCAAAGAUCCCAAACUUGUCUCUCUUUACUCUUCACACUCCAUUAAAGCAAACCCAAAAAAGAAAAGCAUUCUCUCCACCCAAACCUGCAAACCCAUCAUUUCAUCUCUUAUUUUUUUUUAAACCCAAAACCGCCUUUCACUCCUAUUUUUUUUCACAAAUGCACCAAACUAAAUUUCAAGUAUUCACUUCUUUACCUUCUCAACAUACAAACGAUUUCUAAUGGCUAAGCGUGUUUUCCAAGUUUGGAAGGGACGCAAUAAAUUCAUCUGUGGUGGAAGGCUUAUUUUUGGUCCAGAUGCUAGGUCACUGGUUGUUACUUUUCUUCUUAUCGUAGUUCCUAUUAUUAUCUUUUGUGCACAUGUUGCAAAGAACCUUCUCGGUGAAUUUUCAUCAUAUAAUGCAGGCUAUGCAGUCAUGCUGGUGGCGAUUAUCUUCACAAUCUAUGUGUUGGUGUUGCUUCUUCUUACUUCAUCUCGAAAUCCAAAAAUUAUUCCACGUAUUUCAC